UACAGAGGUGGCAAGCGUUGUUCGGAAUUACUGGGCGUAAAGGGCGCGUAGGCGGCCUCGCAAGUCCCGUGUGAAAUCCCUCGGCUCAACUGAGGAAUGGCACGGGAAACUGCGGGGCUUGAGUUCGGGAGAGGGAAGCGGAAUUCCGGGUGUAGCGGUGAAAUGCGUAGAUAUCCGGAGGAACACCGGUGGCGAAGGCGGCUUCCUGGACCGACACUGACGCUGAGGCGCGAAAGCUAGGGGAGCAAACGGG
rnacentral:rRNA from 1 species